GAGGUUAGGGCAUAAUAUAUAAGAUUGGAGAAUCAUCAUCAUAAGAGAGGAUAAUUGAAUCUAUGGGAACUGAUGAGAUCACCAAGUGAAGUAAUAUGGAGGGAAAAUAAAGGCAGCCAAGGACAGAACCCUGACACCCACUUUAAUGGGCGACUUGGAUGAAGAUCCGGCAAAGGAAUCUGAGAAAGAACAGUCAGACAGAGGAGAGGAUGAAGCGGUCUGUAGAAGUGAGGGGACUCCAAGGCGAAGAUGUAACAAGCUGGUGGACGCAGGUUUUUAAAAUUUCACAAUACCCCCUGAGACAUUUAGCAACAUCGUGAAGUGUUGCCGAAGCAAGAUAGAAGAUUCCUGCUUUAUUAACUCAUUCUUCACCAACUUUUGUGCCAUUCAGCACUAAAUCAAAGAGAUAUUUGCACACCUUGGGUAAAUUUGAGAUUUAUAUUUCUAGUGUUAGAGUUGAAAAUUUUAUUAUUACAUAUUGGACUGAAAAAAUUAAUAACUCA